CCCAACACAGAUCGAACAACACGCACCGUACCCAUGACACACAACAGAGACAUACACAAGACAGCACGCCAGAGACAACACUCACGCUACACACAACACGACAACUACCGGGCCAGAAACCCCCAGCUUUCUCCCCCAGCUACCAGACGGCUCUGAGCGUAGCAACACUUAGACACACAAACCAAUGCUGCCAGUACACCCCACCCCACCCCCGUUCAUAACACUAACGGACCGGCUCCGAGCUCCAUACCCGAAGCCCCAACAAAAGACCCACCCCACUGGACCCCACCAACGCAACCCAGGGCAUAUAUCCCCACUAAAUAAGACCUCCACAUGUACACCCAUCCAACCAAUGAAACCCCACAUACUAAAACAAUAUGAGCAGUACAACCUGUUAGGUAUACCAAACCCACCCCCAAGAUAAACACUGAAUCACAUCCCCCACUAAAACUCAUAACUCUGUAACUUACCGCAAAACUACCCACACCAUACCACAAAUGUUGAAUGAUUCAAAACACGCAACUGUUUCUAAAAACUCUGUUCAUUAUAUGCGCAUGGCCCGAUCUUCAGUAGCCAUGACGAUGGGAUCAACUCAGUGAGUUACCAAAC